UACGUAGGGGGCGAGCGUUGUCCGGAAUUAUUGGGCGUAAAGAGCGUGUAGGCGGUCCGGUAAGUCCGCUGUGAAAGUCGGGGGCUCAACCCUCGAAUGCCGGUGGAUACUGUCGGGCUAGAGUGCGGAAGAGGCGAGUGGAAUUCCUGGUGUAGCGGUGAAAUGCGCAGAUAUCAGGAGGAACACCGGUGGCGAAGGCGGCGUCCUGGACCAACACUGACACUGAGGAGCGAAAGCCAGGGGAGCAAACGGG
rnacentral:rRNA from 1 species